AAUAGAUAAUAUUUCAAAUAAAUAAAUUACUAAUAAUAAAAAAGGGAAGAAAAUAGUUAAACAUUGUUCAUUUGAUGUAAGUUUUGGUAUAGUGGUUGGACAUGAAUUUAGUUUGGUACAAGAUUUGGUGCAAAAUGGUGCAGCGCUGGAGAUGACCUAAUGGUUCUUUGAUUUAUUAAUGGAAGAGAUCAAAUUGAUUGGUCAAAUAUCUUUAUGAUUUGGGAACUUGAGAAUGAAUGGAGUAGAGAGCAUGAAUUCGUGUCAGGAAUUGUAAUCCUGAAAAAUGGGUAAAGUGACUACUUAAGCAUUUUAUGUUGAACGGUUAUAAUUUGAGCUCAAUGUUUAACGAAGGUUAAACUUUGACAUCUAUAAUUAAUUUACAGGACCGUUGAAGAAAAUUGUAUUUAAGCUAGUGAGAAUAAUUAGAAGGGUAAAAUGGUCAUUUAUACUCAUACCUAAUUAUCGAAUUUCGG
rnacentral:lncRNA from 1 species